UUGGUCAAGAUUGAUUCCAAAUGGUAGAGGACCUAUCAAUCCCAAGGCAUUAGAGUUCUACAACAAUCUUAUCAAUGAACUGAUCAGCAAUGGAAUCCAACCACAUGUGACACUAAACAACUUUGAUUUUCCACAAGCACUUGAAG